UACGAAGGGGGCUAGCGUUGCUCGGAAUCACUGGGCGUAAAGCGCACGUAGGCGGACUCUUAAGUCGGUGGUGAAAUCCUGGAGCUCAACCCCGGAACUGCCUCCAAAACUGCUGGUCUGGAGGUCGAGAGAGGCGAGUGGAAUUCCGAGUGUAGAGGUGAAAUUCGUAGAUAUUCGGAGGAACACCAGUGGCGAAGGCGGCUCGCUGGCUCGAUACUGACGCUGAGGUGCGAAAGCGUGGGGAGCAAACAGG
rnacentral:rRNA from 1 species